UGAAUACGAGAUGCUACGGCGUCGAAGCAGUCUAUGUCAUACUUCCAAGAAAAGCUUGCACUGUCAUAAACAAAUAAUGCCUGUACCAUAACCGACACAGGUGGGUAGGUAGAGUAUACUAAGGGGCGCGAGAUAACUCCCUCUAAGGAACUCGGCAAAAUGACUCCGUAACUUCGGGAGAAGGAGUGCCUUAUUUAUAAGGUUGCAAUAACAAGACCCAAGCAACUGUUUAUCAAAAACACAGGUCUCCGCUAAGUCGUAAGACGAUGUAUGGGGGCUGACGCCUGCCCAGUGCCAGAAGGUUAAAGAAGUUGGUUAGCAUUAGCGAAGCUGAUGACUGAAGCCCUGGUGAACGGCGGCCGUAACAAUAACGGUCCUAAGGUAGCGAAAUUCCUUGUCGGGUAAGUUCCGACCCGCACGAAAGGCGUAAUGAUUUGGGUACUGUCUCAGAGAGGGACUCGGUGAAAUAGACUUGUCUGUGAAGAUGCGGACUACCUGCACCUGGACAGAAAGACCCUAUGAAGCUUUACUGUAACCUGAAAUUGAAAUUGGACUUUAUUUGCGCAGUAUAGGUGGGAGGCUUUGAAGAUAUUCUUGCGGGAAUGUUGGAGCCAUCAGUGAGAUACCACUCUUGUAAUGUUAGAUUUCUAACUUUGUAUCAUUAUCUGGUCAAAGAACAGUUUCAGGCGGGCAGUUUGACUGGGGCGGUCGCCUCCUAAACGGUAACGGAGGCGCACAAAGGUUUCCUCUGAACGGGUAGAAAUCGUAUCUAGAGUGUAAAGGCAUAAGGAAGCUUGACUGUGAGACCUACAAGUCGAGCAGGGACGAAAGUCGGUCUUAGUGAUCUGACGGUGCUGAGUGGAAAGGCCGCCACUCAACGGAUAAAAGUUACUCUAAGGAUAACAGGCUGAUCUCCCCCAAGAGUUCACAUCGACGGGGAGGUUUGGCACCUCGAUGUCGGCUCAUCGCAUCCUGGGGCGGUAGUACGUCCCAAGGGUUGGGCCGUUCGCCCAUGAAAGCGGUACGCGAGCUGGGUUCAGAACGUCGUGAGACAGUUCGGUCCAUAUCCGGUGUAGGCGUUAGAAUAUUGAGAGGAGCCUUCUCUAGUACGAGAGGACCGAGAAGGACACACCUCUGGUGUACCAGUUAUCGUGCCAACGGUAAACGCUGGGUAGCUAUGUGUGGAGCGGAUAACCGCUGAAAGCAUCUAAGUGGGAAGCCCACCUCAAGAUAAGUAUUCUCA
rnacentral:rRNA from 1 species